rnacentral:tRNA from 1 species
GUGUACGUAGUUCAGUUGGUAGAAUCCCAGUUUGUGACACUGGCUGUCGCGGGUUCGAGUCCCGUCGUACACCCCA